GGAUCCUCUGCCCGGGAGGAGGCAUUCUUAUCCUCUGCGCGUUUAUUUUUAUUUUUUAUUUUUUCCUCUGCGCGUUUAAAAGUCGAAGCUUUUCCCACUCGCCGGAGUGCUCCCCAGCGAUCAGUCGAGGACUCCCUAAUGCCGGUCGCUUACUCCUCCCACCAACCCCGGGGUUGGAUCUAUCGUUAGCCCCACGUUACAGAUUUCUUCACUAAAAAAAAAAAAAAAAAAACAACACA